CAAUAGCGUAUAUUUAAGUUGUUGCAGUUAAAAAGCUCGUAGUUGGAUUUCGGUUAAGAGCGACCGGUCCGCCGUUUGGUGUGCACUGGUUGGUUUUAACUUCCUGUAGAGGACGUGCUCUGGGUUUAACGACCUGGACUCGGAGUCUACGUGGUUACUUUGAAAAUAUUAGAGUGUUCAAAGCGGGCUUACGCUUGAAUAUUUCAGCAUGGAAUAACACUAUAGGACUCCUGUCCUAUUUCGUUGGUCUCGGGACGGGAGUAAUGAUUAAGAGGAACAGUUGGGGGCAUUCGUAUUUCAUUGUCAGAGGUGAAAUUCUUGGAUUUAUGAAAGACGAACUUCUGCGAAAGCAUUUGCCAAGGAUGUUUUCAUUAA
rnacentral:rRNA from 1 species